AGGCUAGUUACCACGUCAGUGAGCUGACAGGGAAGGUAGCCGGCUCCACCGCCCGUUCCGGCCGAGUCUUUCUGGCCGACUGUGCGGUCCCUGACUUCGGCCUCAACUUCCAGGAAACGGGCUCCUUCCCUUCUCCCAUCUGCCACCAGAGCCGGGAGAGUCGGUUAAAGACGUCUUCGGGGCCCGGGCUGGACAUGAACAGCGGCUGCGGGUCCUGGGACUAGGCCCCGCCAUUUUGGAUCCGCUGACAGGUUUACCAGGAUGGUGGAUAAAAAUAUUUACAUCAUUCAAGGGGAGAUUAACAUUGUGGUUGGGGCAAUCAAACGAAAUGCCCGAUGGAGCACUCAUACUCCACUGGAUGAAGAACGGGAUCCUUUGCUGCAUAGUUUCAGUCAUCUAAAGGAGGUUUUAAACAAUAUAACAGAACUCUCAGAAAUUGAGCCCAAUGUGUUCCUCCGUCCAUUUCUGGAAGUGAUUCGCUCUGAAGAUACCACUGGCCCUAUCACUGGACUGGCGCUCACCUCUGUCAACAAGUUCCUGUCCUAUGCACUCAUAGAUCCCACUCAUGAGGGCACAGCAGAGGGCAUGGAGAACAUGGCAGAUGCUGUCACCCACGCCCGUUUUGUGGGCACAGAUCCUGCCAGCGAUGAGGUUGUCCUGAUGAAAAUCCUUCAGGUGCUGCGGACUCUGUUGCUGACCCCAGCGGGUGCCCACCUAACCAAUGAAUCUGUAUGUGAAAUUAUGCAGUCUUGCUUCCGGAUCUGCUUCGAAAUGAGGCUCAGUGAGUUAUUGAGAAAAUCCGCAGAGCACACUCUCGUAGACAUGGUGCAGCUGCUCUUCACAAGGUUACCUCAGUUUAAAGAAGAACCCAAGAACUAUAUGGGGACCAACAUGAAGAAGCUGAAAAUGAGAGCAGGAGGCAUGAGUGAUUCAUCCAAGUGGAAGAAACAGAAGAGAUCCCCCCGGCCCCUGCGCCAUGUGACCAAAGUCACAUCAGGUUCAGAGCUGCCCACCCCCAAUGGAACUACCUUAUCCUCUAACCCCACAGGGGGCAUGCCCUUCAUUGAUGUGCCCACUCCCAUCUCCUCUGCAAGUUCAGAAGCUGCCUCAGCGGUGGUCAGCCCCUCUACAGACAGUGGCCUGGAGUUCUCCUCCCAGACCACCUCCAAGGAGGACCUUACUGACCUGGAACAACCUGGCUCUCCAGGGUAUAGCACAGCUACAGAGCCUGGCAGCAGUGAGCUAGGGGUUCCUGAGCAGCCUGACCCCCAGCAGGAAGGGGUCCAUGUGGAAAAGGCCCAGUCAGCAUCCGUGGAAUCCAUCCCUGAAGUGUUAGAGGAGUGCACGUCCCCUGCUGACCACUCUGACUCUGCCUCUGUCCAUGACAUGGAUUACGUCAAUCCCCGGGGUGUGCGCUUUACACAGUCCUCCCAGAAGGAAGGUACAGCUUUGGUCCCCUGUGGUCUUCCCUGCAUCCGUGAGCUCUUCCGCUUCCUCAUCUCCCUGACCAAUCCACACGACCGCCACAAUUCAGAGGUUAUGAUCCACAUGGGACUGCAUUUGCUGACAGUGGCUCUUGAAUCAGCCCCUGUAGCCCAGUGCCAAACCCUCCUGGGCCUCAUCAAGGAUGAGAUGUGCCGCCACUUACUCCAGCUACUCAGUGUAGAGCGACUCAACCUUUAUGCUGCUUCCCUGCGGGUAUGCUUCCUGCUGUUUGAAAGCAUGAGGGAGCACCUCAAGUUCCAAUUGGAGAUGUACAUCAAAAAGCUCAUGGAGAUCAUCACUGUGGAGAACCCCAAAAUGCCUUAUGAGAUGAAGGAGAUGGCACUGGAGGCCAUUGUGCAGCUCUGGCACAUCCCCAGUUUUGUCACUGAGCUCUAUAUCAACUAUGAUUGUGACUACUACUGUUCAAACCUCUUUGAAGACCUCACCAAGCUGCUGUCCAAGAAUGCCUUCCCUGUGUCUGGUCAGCUCUAUACAACACACCUCCUGUCUCUUGAUGCCCUGUUGACAGUGAUUGACAGCACUGAGGCCCAUUGCCAGGCCAAAGUCCUCAACAAUCUUACCCAGCAAGAGAAGAAAGAAGCAGCCAGACCUGGCUAUGAGGCAGUAGAUGGCUCCCGAGAAUCCAGCAAUACUGAAAGAACAGCCAGUGAUGGGAAACCUGUAGGCAUAGCCCCAGACAUCCCAGGCCUACAUCUGCCAGGUGGAGGGCGGCUGACAGCAGAACAUGGGAAGCCAGGAUGCAGUGAUCUGGAGGAAGCUUCUGACUCUGGGGCUGACAAAAAGUUUACCCGGAAGCCACCUCGAUUUUCCUGUCUCCUGCCAGAUCCACGGGAACUGAUUGAAAUUAAAAACAAAAAGAAGCUGCUAAUCACUGGCACAGAGCAGUUCAACCAGAAACCAAAGAAGGGGAUCCAGUUUCUGCAGGAGAAAGGCCUCCUCACCAUCCCAAUGGACAACAUAGAGGUAGCCCAGUGGCUCCGAGAGAACCCUCGGCUGGACAAGAAAAUGAUUGGAGAGUUUGUGAGUGACCGCAAAAACAUUGACCUGUUGGAGAGCUUUGUGAGCACCUUCAGCUUUCAGGGCCUACGGCUGGAUGAAGCUCUUCGCCUCUACCUGGAAGCCUUUCGCUUACCUGGGGAAGCACCAGUCAUCCAGAGAUUGCUGGAGGCAUUCACUGAGCAUUGGAGAAAUUGUAAUGGCUCCCCAUUUGCCAAUAGCGAUGCCUGCUUUGCCCUGGCCUAUGCUGUCAUCAUGCUUAAUACUGACCAGCACAACCACAACGUUCGCAAACAGAAUGCACCCAUGACUCUAGAGGAGUUUCGCAAAAACCUAAAAGGUGUGAAUGGAGGCAAGGACUUUGAGCAAGACAUCCUGGAGGACAUGUACCAUGCCAUCAAGAAUGAGGAAAUUGUGAUGCCUGAAGAGCAGACAGGCUUGGUUCGGGAGAACUAUGUGUGGAAUGUGCUGCUUCAUCGAGGUGCCACCCCAGAGGGCAUAUUCCUUCGUGUGCCUGCUGGCAGCUAUGAUCUUGACCUCUUCACCAUGACAUGGGGCCCCACUAUUGCUGCCCUUUCUUAUGUCUUUGACAAAAGCCUUGAGGAGACAAUCAUCCAGAAAGCCAUCUCAGGCUUCAGGAAGUGCGCCAUGAUCUCCGCCCACUAUGGCCUCAGCGAUGUGUUUGACAAUCUCAUCAUAUCUCUGUGCAAAUUCACAGCUCUUAGCAGUGAGUCUAUUGAGAACCUUCCCAGUGUGUUUGGAAGCAACCCCAAAGCCCACAUUGCAGCCAAGACAGUAUUCCAUUUGGCCCAUCGUCAUGGUGACAUCCUGCGGGAGGGCUGGAAGAAUAUCAUGGAGGCCAUGCUACAGCUCUUCCGAGCCCAGCUGCUGCCCAAAGCUAUGGUGGAGGUAGAAGAUUUUGUGGAUCCCAAUGGCAAGAUCUCUCUACAGAGGGAGGAGACACCAUCAAAUCGAGGAGAGUCGACAGUACUAAGCUUUGUGAGCUGGCUGACACUAAGUGGUACUGAGCAGUCUAGUGUGCGGGGCCCAUCCACUGAGAACCAAGAGGCCAAAAGAGCGGCCUUGGACUGUAUCAAGCAAUGUGAUCCAGAAAAGAUGAUCACAGAAAGCAAGUUCCUUCAGCUGGAGUCACUGCAGGAGCUCAUGAAGGCUCUGGUCUCAGUGACACCAGAUGAAGAGACAUACGAUGAGGAGGAUGCUGCUUUCUGCCUAGAGGUGCUGCUGAGGAUUGUGCUGGAGAACAGGGACCGUGUGGGUUGUGUGUGGCAGACUGUCCGAGACCAUCUAUAUCACCUGUGUGUCCAGGCACAGGAUUUCUGCUUCCUUGUAGAGCGGGCAGUGGUGGGGCUGCUGCGCUUGGCCAUUCGACUACUCCGAAGAGAAGAGAUCAGUGGCCAGGUGCUGCUCUCCCUGCGCAUUUUGCUGCUAAUGAAGCCCAGCGUGCUGUCCCGAGUCAGUCACCAGGUAGCCUAUGGGCUCCAUGAACUCCUUAAGACCAACGCAGCCAACAUCCACUCAGGUGAUGACUGGGCCACCCUCUUCACACUGCUGGAAUGCAUUGGCUCAGGUGUAAAGCCUCCAGCUGCCCUGCAGUCCACAGCCAGGGCUGAUGGACCUGAUGCUGGGGCCCAAUCAGACAGCGAACUCCCAUCCUACCAUCAGAAUGAUGUGAGCCUGGACCGAGGAUACACUUCUGAUUCAGAGGUCUACGCUGACCAUUGCAGGCCUGGCAAGAUCCACCGAUCAGCCACAGACGCUGAUGUGGUCAACAGCGGCUGGUUAGUGGUGGGGAAGGAUGACAUCGAUAACUCCAAGCCAGGUCCUGGGCCCAGCCGGCUAGGCCCUUCACCCCUGGUCAAUCAGUACAGCCUAACAGUGGGGCUGGACCUCGGGCCACACGAUACUAAGUCCCUGCUUAAAUGUGUAGAAUCUCUGUCCUUCAUCGUGCGUGAUGCUGCCCACAUUACACCUGACAACUUUGAGCUCUGCGUCAAGACUCUCCGCAUCUUUGUGGAGGCCAGUCUGAAUGGCGGGUGCAAGUCCCAGGAAAAACGUGGCAAGAGUCACAAAUAUGAUAGCAAAGGAAACCGCUUCAAGAAGAAAUCCAAGGAAGGCUCAGUGCUUCGGCGGCCUCGAACCUCCAGCCAACAUGCCACUCGGGGUGGGCAUAGUGACGAUGAUGAGGAUGAAGGUGUGCCUGCCAGCUACCAUACGGUGUCUUUACAGGUCAGUCAGGACUUGUUAGACCUGAUGCACACCCUGCACACUCGAGCGGCCUCGAUCUACAGCUCUUGGGCGGAGGAGCAGCGCCAUCUAGAGACAGGUGGCCGGAAGAUCGAAGCUGAUUCCCGCAGCCUCUGGGCCCACUGCUGGUGCCCGUUACUGCAGGGCAUCGCCUGCCUGUGCUGCGACGCCCGGCGCCAGGUCCGGAUGCAGGCACUGACCUAUCUACAGCGAGCACUGCUGGUACAUGAUCUGCAGAAGCUAGAUGCCCUGGAGUGGGAGUCCUGUUUUAACAAGGUGCUGUUUCCUCUACUGACCAAGCUCUUGGAGAAUAUCAGCCCUGCAGAUGUGGGUGGGAUGGAGGAGACUCGAAUGAGGGCUUCCACACUGCUGUCUAAGGUCUUCCUGCAGCACCUGUCUCCGCUGCUGUCACUCUCUACCUUUGCGGCCCUCUGGCUGACCAUUCUGGACUUCAUGGACAAGUAUAUGCACGCAGGCUCCAGUGACUUACUGUCAGAGGCCAUCCCUGAGUCUCUGAAGAACAUGCUUCUGGUGAUGGACACAGCAGAGAUUUUCCACAAUGCAGAUGCCCGAGGAGGCAGCCCCUCAGCCCUCUGGGAGAUCACCUGGGAGCGCAUUGACUGUUUUCUGCCCCACCUACGAGAUGAGCUCUUCAAGCAGACUGUCAUCCAGGACCCCAUGCCCAUAGAGCCACAUGCCCAAAAAUCUCUGGCCUCAGCCCACAUGACUCCUGCUGCUGGGGACACAAGGACACCUGGCCAUCCACCUCCCCCAGAGAUGCCUUCUGAGCUGGGGGCCUGUGACUUUGAGAAGCCUGAGAGCCCUCGACCUGCCAACAGCGGCUCCGCUGGAUCACCAGUGGCGUCUAGCCCCAGCAGACUGAGCCCUACUCCAGAUGGGCCUCCUUCCCUGGCUCAGCCCCCACUAAUCCUACAGCCCUUGGCCUCCCCACUGCAGGCCAGCAGCCAGCCAGACGCCAGCCAGGAUUCCUUCGCCAGAGCUGCUGCCCUACACCACCACCACCGCCAGAGCAGUGCACUCUUGCCACGGGGGGUAUGCCAGGAGGUAGUUCAGACCAUGCCUGGUUUCCACACUAACCAGAAGCCUUGUCUGAUCCCGUCCCUAGGAAAAUUAGGAGUAUGGCUGCACUCCUGAUCUGUACUUUUCUGUAUGAAUGCUGAAAGGCCUGGGUCUUCAGUCAGGUAGACACUAGGGCCCUCGGCUUCGGCUGAGAUGUCUUUAUUCUCCCAUCUGAGCUCCACAAGUGCUGCCUUUCGAAGCUUCCCUGUGGGGGAAAUAAUGUUGGCUACUGCAAAGGAAUUUGAAGGUCAUCCUGUGAACAAAAGAAUAUGACAAGUCUGUGCCCCUCAGUCUGCAAAUAUUGGAAAGAAGCUGGAAUGAUUGCAAACCGACCCUCUCCCCAUUGGGUUGCAAAAAAACACUUGGAAGUCUCAUUCUCUUAAAGAUCAGCUGACACAUACAUUACUUACGUUAUUGACAAAUGUUCUCCCUGAGAAGGCAAAGGAAGCUACAGAAGAAGCUAAUAUUCAGGCCCCAAUUCUAAUCAACACAGAAGGACUUCGUGAUGUGGAAGUGCCAGAACAACUUUUAGGAAAGUAACAGUGUGACCCAGAGGAAAGUGUUGGUCUCCAUGGUGUCUCCUAUAAGAACUCCAGGAUAGCAGAUUUCAGAAAGUCCAGAGGAAAGCUAGGGACCUAAGACCAAACGUGGAGAAGUGACAUUGUUGGAGCACCGUAUGUGUCAACAGAAUAAAUAAAAAAGCUAAAAAAAAAAAAAAAAGAAAAAGAAGAAGAAGAAGGUCAGGGGCAAGUUGCUUGGAAAAUCUGAAACAAAAGCCUGUGUUCUACCAUGAGCCUAAGGGAGGACGACUCCAAGAAUGGAGAUUGCUCAUGACACCUCCUAAAGAGAAACUCUACCUAUCACAGAUCUUCAGCCAGAGUC